GACGAACGCUGGCGGCGCGCCUAACACAUGCAAGUCGAACGAGGUUCGAGAAGUACACCGAGCGGUUGGAGACGACCGUUGGGCGUACUUUUUGAAUCUAGUGGCGAACGGGUGAGUAACACGUGAGCAACCUGCCCUUUAGAGGGGGAUAACACUUAGAAAUAGGUGCUAAUACCGCAUAAGACCACAACGCCGAAUGGCGAAGGGGUCAAAGGAGAAAUCCGCUAAAGGAUGGGCUCGCGCCCGAUUAGCUAGUUGGUGAGGUAACGGCCCACCAAGGCAACGAUCGGUAGCCGGACUGAGAGGUUGAACGGCCACAUUGGGACUGAGACACGGCCCAGACUCCUACGGGAGGCAGCAGUGGGGAAUAUUGCACAAUGGAGGAAACUCUGAUGCAGCGACGCCGCGUGAGGGAAGAAGGUUUUCGGAUUGUAAACCUCUGUCUUCGGGGACGAAACAAAUGACGGUACCCGAGGAGGAAGCCACGGCUAACUACGUGCCAGCAGCCGCCGUAAAAC
rnacentral:rRNA from 1 species